rnacentral:sRNA from 1 species
GUCAAUUACCCCGCCCUGAAGGGCGGAGCUUGCAAGGCGGUACGCAGGCUAGGUUGAUCAUGGGGACCGUGUAACGUCGUGAGACGUUGGUAGACGUUUAUAACAGGUCGUUAAGACGCACUCCGGGAUGCUGCCUCAGUUCCGCGACACUGCAAGGUUGGGCUCAUGCUGCGGAAAGGCAAAGCCGCGAAGGACCAACCGCUGUUGAAAGACAGGAGCCGGUUAUAGACCCCCCGAGGGGAGACAUUUGUACAAGUUGUUACCGGACCCGUAAGGGU